CUUUUGUGUAACGCUCGUUAUGGAAGAGAGGGUAGCUGAUUGUCAGAGUUCAGGGCUGCACCCUGGUGUGCUGAGCAGGUGUCCGUGCUAAGGUUGGCAUCAAUAUGGUGAUUUCUGGGAAGUUCGGCGUCACCAGGUUGCCUAAGGAGGGGUGAACCGGCCCAGGUCAGAAAUGGAGCCGGUCAAAACUCCCAUGCUGAUUGAUAGUAGGAUUGCACCUGUGAACACCUGCUGUAGCAAAGCCUGGGCAGGACAGUGAGAGCUAGUCUCUU
rnacentral:SRP_RNA from 1 species